rnacentral:rRNA from 1 species
UGCUCAAUGAAUAUUUAAAUUGCUGUAGUAUUUUGACUAUACAAAGGUAUUGAAAUAAGGUUUUAAUUGAAUGCUAAAAGAAUGGAAUAUCAAAGAAUAACUUUCUUAAAAUUAAAAAUUGAAAUUUUUUUAAUUUGUGUAAAAACAAUUAUAUAAAUUAAAGACAAGAAGACCCUAAGAAUUUUUAAAAUUUAAAUUAACACAUUUUUGUUUUAAUUAAAUUUUAACUGGGGCGGUUAAAAAAUAUUAAAAACUUUUUAAUUUUGAAAAUGACCCAUUAUUAAUGAAAAUAUGAUAAAAUACUCUAGGGAUAACAGCGUUAUAUUUUUUGAUAGAUCAUAUUGACAAAAAAGUUUGCGACCUCGAUGUUGGAUUAGGAUACUUUUUUAAUGAAGAUAUUAAAAUAAGAAGUUUGUUCAACUUUUAAAUUCCUACAUGAUCUGA